AUAACAGUUAGAAAUGACUGCUAAUACCGCAUAAGACCACGGAGCCGCAUGGCUCAGUGGGAAAAACUCCGGUGGUAUGAGAUGGACCCGCGUCUGAUUAGGUAGUUGGUGGGGUAACGGCCUACCAAGCCAACGAUCAGUAGCCGACCUGAGAGGGUGACCGGCCACAUUGGGACUGAGACACGGCCCAAACUCCUACGGGAGGCAGCAGUGGGGAAUAUUGCACAAUGGGGGAAACCCUGAUGCAGCGACGCCGCGUGAGCGAAGAAGUAUUUCGGUAUGUAAAGCUCUAUCAGCAGGGAAGAAAAUGACGGUACCUGACUAAGAAGCACCGGCUAAAUACGUGCCAGCAGCCGCGGUAAUACGUAUGGUGCAAGCGUUAUCCGGAUUUACUGGGUGUAAAGGGAGCGUAGACGGCUGUGUAAGUCUGAAGUGAAAGCCCGGGGCUCAACCCCGGGACUGCUUUGGAAACUAUGCAGCUAGAGUGUCGGAGAGGUAAGUGGAAUUCCCAGUGUAGCGGUGAAAUGCGUAGAUAUUGGGAGGAACACCAGUGGCGAAGGCGGCUUACUGGACGAUGACUGACGUUGAGGCUCGAAAGCGUGGGGAGCAAACAGGAUUAGAUACCCUGGUAGUCCACGCCGUAAAC
rnacentral:rRNA from 1 species